rnacentral:rRNA from 1 species
UGGGGAAUUUUGGACAAUGGGCGAAAGCCUGAUCCAGCAAUGCCGCGUGUGUGAAGAAGGCCUUCGGGUUGUAAAGCACUUUUGUCCGGAAAGAAAUCCUCUGGGUUAAUACCUCGGGGGGAUGACGGUACCGGAAGAAUAAGCACCGGCUAACUACGUGCCAGCAGCCGCGGUAAUACGUAGGGUGCAAGCGUUAAUCGGAAUUACUGGGCGUAAAGCGUGCGCAGGCGGUUCGGAAAGAAAGAUGUGAAAUCCCAGAGCUUAACUUUGGAACUGCAUUUUUAACUACCGGGCUAGAGUGUGUCAGAGGGAGGUGGAAUUCCGCGUGUAGCAGUGAAAUGCGUAGAUAUGCGGAGGAACACCGAUGGCGAAGGCAGCCUCCUGGGAUAACACUGACGCUCAUGCACGAAAGCGUGGGGAGCAAACAGGAUUAGAUACCCUGGUAGUCCACGCCCUAAACGAUGUCAACUAGCUGUUGGGGUCUUCGGACCUUGGUAGCGCAGCUAACGCGUGAAGUUGACCGCCUGGGGAGUACGGUCGCAAGAUUAAAACUCAAAUGAAUUGAC